rnacentral:lncRNA from 1 species
AGAAGUAUGCUAUGGGAUGAAGGUCUCCUACGCUGGGAGUGGUUAUGUUAUCUGACAAAUGAAUAUAAUAUGGGAUUAAGGUCCCCAUUCGUGAUGUUAUUGAAGUGAUUGUGUUAAGAUGAAGGAUUGUGUUUGUUUGGUUUCUUGUUUGAUCAGAUAGAUCGUAUGCAUGCCUGCCACCUGGCCUGCUAUAAUUUUCAUUGUCAAUAAUAUUCAUAGCUCAUGUUCAAAAAAAAUUUUGAUGCGAAAUUUGGGUUUGCAUUCCGUGAGGCUUGAUUGCAUUUGUACAGUUUUUAAAUCGGCUGUUUCAAUUUUGAGUUUUUGGUUUAUAAUGGUGAGUUGGGGGGGGGGGGGGGGGGGGGGGUUAAAUUUGGAUCUGAUGGGUUCAAUUUUGUUCUUGAGGUUGGUUAGAUUGUGAACAGGCUUAAAUCGUAUGUCUCGGACGAUUCGAUUGUUUUAAGCGCAAGAACAUCAAGAAUCCUUCUUUGAUUUGGCCAUUUCAUUAGCACCCGCUUGGAUUUCUAGCUUCUGUGCCACCAAAUUCCAGAAGGGGAUUUUCUUAAUAAAAGAAUUGCGUAUUGCUCCAUUAUCAAGCCCCCGGCAAGAGAAUGGUAAAGUAGUUUUGGAUUUCCAUGAUUUGCUACGUAAAAUUGGCUCUGAAAACAAUAAACUGUUCAGUGACAAGGGCAAGGGAAAAUUUGAGGUGUCUGAAGGAUGCGUAAUGGUAAAUGAAAUGCUGAAGUUAGGAGUUAUCUUGCUGGUGUGGUAUAUGAUGUGUUUUAGAACCUGAUUCACUGCAAUUGUUGUCACCCUUUCCCUCAACUCCAAUUUCCAACUGAACUUUGACAUGCACUCUAUAGGAUAGUAAUGUAGGUUUCGGCUUGAUGAUUAAGGGAGCAUUGAGAGUUCAUCAAGUGAUAAGAAGUUUUAUGUGGUGAUUACCUCUGUCUCAAAAGCAGAACAUCAUGUGGGCUAGGAAUGCAUUGGUGUUCCAUCCUGCAAUUAAAACUUGAGAGGCUCUGAAUUGAUGGUGUGUUUCGGAAAUUGUUAAAGGAAAAGGCAUCUGUCAUAUUUAGUCUAUUCUUCUGAUGUCCUUCUACUUGAUGGCCUUCUUGGAAGGGGAGACUUUUCAUGUGUUCAAACAAAGUAAUGAUUUUUAGUUGUUCAGAAAAAUGUUACCUAAUAGCUCAACAUUGUACGUUGGUUUGAUAUCUAACUAGGAUGAGACAUAUGGUUAAGAUACUAUGUUGAUGACAAUUGAUAGUAGUUACCUAGAUCGCUUAGAAGAAAGAUGGAAAAUUGGGUUUGAGGGUUGUUUUUUUUAGAUCUUCAUUUAAUUUUAUGUAGAUGUAAUUAGAUCAUCUACACGUGAUACAACUUUUAGCUGAUUGGGCUUGGACUUUAUCCAUAACUGUAGUUUAAGAUUAGAUAUAGGUGUCCAAACUAGGACUUGAAUUUCAGAUGAGGUAGGGUCUGAAUCGCAUAAAUUAGACUCGUCAAGCAUGAAAAAUACUGCUUUGAGUUGACAAAUUUUUUUCCAGAAAUCUGGGUCUAUGCUCCUAGACAUUAUACUUGGACCUGACACUGUCCUAGUCUGAAGAAACCUAGUUAAGCUUACCAAGUGAAUGGGUCAGAAAGAUCUGGUCUAAAACUUCAAGCAGAAUGCUAAUUAGGGUCAAAUCGAGGCCAUUCUAUAUUUGUACUUUCUAACUCAUUUGCAAUUGUUAAGUGCAACAUAUAUACGGUUGAUCUUCCUUUGUUGAAAUCAAUUAGAUUAAAUAGAGUCUUAUUUUGCUCAUUUUCCAUUUUUUAGAUCUUUUCCUGUGAAAGAAAUCAUGGAUUUCUACAACCAAGAGUUAGAUCUAGGAGAUAUGAGCUGCCGUGGUUCAAGGGCAAAUUACUAACAUAGAAACUUGUAAAUCAUACUUAUUAAUUGGAUGGAAGAAUCCAACUCUCCACAAGUCAUUGUUUAACAAUUAACAACAUUUGACUUUUUAGGUGAAAGUACUUUACAGAAAUACGUUUAAGAUAUAGUAGAGAACUACCUGGAGACUGUCACCAACUAGGGUACUGUUUCCUGAGAAUGGAAGGUGCACCGAAGAGAAUUGAGAAAUUUGAACAUCUCUUCAUCUUUCAAUCAAUGGAUGUAUGAGAGUUGAUAUACUAAGAGUUAAGGUGGUAAAGUGAAAGAGGCAUGCACUUGGAAAGGAUUUACCUUGGAAGUAGCCAAGGUUGAGAUGAGAGUUCAAAAUUUUAAUAUGAUUGCUAACUUCGGCCUGGUGAUUGUUGUGUCAAAUCAAGUAAAUGACAAUAAGAUUGGUAAUGGAGCAUUAAGGAUUCGUGAACAUAGUUCUAUUAUGUGGUUAGUAAUAUCCAUGGCAUGAAUUUAAGAAGCUUUUGUGCGAGCACUAGUUCUUGAUUAGAAAAGGCCCUUAUUGUCAUUUAACAAGCUUUAGAUCUUAAACUAUGGUGAGUGAUGAAACUAGGCAAUGAAACUGGAGGAAAAAUCUGGUGUGCAAAUGAUUGUGGCUUGAUCCAUUACAAUGGAGCGCCUUCAGAUGAUGAAGUAGCAAAACAUCAAUACACAUAUCUAUUAAAAAGGUUAAUUCCACUGUCAUUUCUCAGAGUAAAUCCAUCAUCACAUACUAUUGAUGAAAGUUACCAGUAUAUGCAUAGGAGAAAGACAGUCUUAUUAAAAACAAGAAUAACAAGAGUGCUUUUAUGUUUUGGGUUACUAUCAUGGUAGAAAUUAAAGUAGAAUAUGAUCCUGGGGUGUGUGUUGUAACAAAAAUAACACGUAUGCGAGGUCGGGUGGAAACAGUUACUUUUAAACAGCCAAUUUCGGGAAUGAUAGAAGAAUUGUAAAUAAACAAGUAAAAUUGCAAUCCGUGUAUAUUGUGUUGGUAAUCUUCUUCUGUGUUAUAAUUUAUAACUUCCUGAUAGCUGCUGCAAGGCUUGAUGGUUAUGGCUACAAAUGCACAACUUACAAUCCAAAUUACCAUGCAUUGAAAGCUCUGUCUUGCAUAUUGAAAUUUCACAUGUGAUCUAAGAUACGAUUGAGAACGCAUGCUAGUAUAUCCAUGACAAAAAUGCAUGUCAAUUAUAAGAAUAAAUCGUAUAGUUUUAUUAUUUUUAUACCAUACGUAAUGAUGAAUCAUCAUCUUCGCAUCUUUACUGUAGUCAUUUAAAAAUUUAAUUGGUCAAACGAUUCUGCUUAAGCAUGGUGAUACGAGUUACUUUAAUUACAUAAAUGGAAAGCAACAAAAAGAUUUCAUCUCAUGUUGAAGGGUGGUUGGAGCCAAAACAAAAAUCAUCCAAUUUUUUCAUGUCGGUCAACAAUUACUUCAUAACUUGUUACAACUUCAGUAAUAGUCAAAUUUUGUUUUUUUUCAAUAAUAAAUAUGGAAGUGAUCAAUUUUAAAGGAGUUUUGAUCAGUUUUGUUUGUCAUAUUCUGCUAUUCGUUUCUGUAUAAAGAUUUGAAACAAGAACAGAUAGAGUGCUUACCAAUAGGUUUGAAUGCAGUGGCAAGAUAAACUGACAAAUUACUGGGAAGAUUGAUUUUGGAUCAUCACAUAGCAAAGUUCAUGACAGUUCUAGAAGAACAUGUUGUUUUCCUAGGUUCUAGAUUGAGUCUGUUAUUUAAUUAAACGAACAAAAGAAUGAUUAAGUUAAUGCAAAAUUCGUGUUCUUAAAAGAUUCUAUUAGUGAUCUCAUGCACACCAACUAUAAGGUGAUUUGUGGAAAGGUUAUGAAGAUGGAGCACAGUUGUUGAAUAAAGCAUCCUAUGACCUGAAGCAAGCUGCUUGAUUAUGUGCUUGUGUGAACACAUGCUAUUAAGCAAGUCUGCUCAAGUAUCCUUGUGAACAUGUUCCUUAGAUUGAUUUGAGAGACAAGCUAUUAUCUAUUUUUUUCGCUCUUCGUUGGUGAUUUCAUGAUAAGGGAAACCCAUUUUUGAAAAUUCGUUUUACAUCAAGCCUUUGUAGUUUUUGCUUUGAUAGUUUGCUCCAAGGUUUGGAGUUCUACCAAGAAAAAAAAAGAAAGCCAAACAAAGUUAUUUACACAACAUUUUAGAGUAUAUCAUGCUAUAUAAGAUCCUUUUACCCUUCUGAUGAGAAAUUUGGUGGAAGGCUGCAAACAAACUGAGUUGUUCAUGGACAGCUUAGGCUUGGCUUGGUAAUAGGCUUCGAACUUAGUUCAAGUUUGAAAUGAGCCGAUCUCAAACAUUCUUUAAAGCUAUGCCAAUAAACUGAGUUGAGUUUGAAUCCCCUAGGUUUGCAAAAUGAAUAAGGGUAUAUGCUCAGCUCGAUAAAAAGCUUGUUCAACAUCAGUUCACACAAUACAUGAGUCAAGCAUGAUCAUGACCUGUCAACCUCUGCUCAAGUUCGAUCAACCCUCUUAUAUAACAAGUUGAGCAUAAGCAACCUACCACUUAGCCAGCUCAUCUUGUUUGCAGUGCUAAUUUUGUGGGAGUGCCACCAUCUUGAGUUGAGUCCUGGACCUUUUUCUUGAGGUGAGGGUUGCCACCUAGCGGCGAUAAUUCUGAUCGAUGUGUUAUGUAAGAUCUUGUAUAAUUUGGUAAAUUUGUACUGAAAUUAGUAUUGCAUAUCAUCUCUCAAUGCGUAGUCACACUUUCUUCAUCAUUUUGAGUAGAAUAUUGCAAACAUCCUAGAUUGAGAUAUUUGUUAGCAUGUUUUCAAGGUUCUGCAGCCAAGUAAUUAAACCCAUAUAAAUUUAGAUUAUUAGAUUGUGAUAUAGAAUAUUAGAUUACAUUAUAUUUUUUAUAAAAAAAGGAUGCUUGUUUCUGUUAUGAUGAGCUCAUGCGUUCUCUUGUUUCAUGGCAAUGUUGUUGAUAGGCAUGAUGUGCUAGGCUAGGUGCUGCCAUGGAGGCUAAGGGCUUCAGUCAGUUUUUAGCAAGAUGUACCCAAUCUGAAACUUUACGCUAUGUUUGAAUAUGAGGUCCAAAAUACAUAAUAUUGGAUAAAUGACAAGAAUUUCAUGGUGCACUAUCUUGCCACCAAGUUUUCUGAAAUUAAUGAAGGAAAUAGGAAAUUGGCCAAGUCUUGGGGAAACUUGAUUUCGGUUGAACGUUCAGGUUGUAUAUGAACUAGCAGAUUAUGCAUGGUUGAAGACUUUGUUUGGAAGUAUUUGGAAUGUUAUGGUUAUGUGAUUGGACAUUGUUUUGAGGUUGUGUUUAUUUAUUGAAAGAUGAAAAAAUUAUUAUGCACUAUGUUACUUAGAGACACACCAGAUUAUUGUAUGCUUUAAUUGAUGAGUCUAGGCCUGGCGAUGCAAUUGAUGGAAGGUAUAGUAGAUGGGGCUAUGUUUUCCCUUGGAAAUGGUGCUUUCAUAUGUUAUUUGAAGAAAUUAAAAGUUGUUGUUCUUUCUAAUGUUGAAGGAAGUUGAGUAUAUUUGUAUCUCAGCAACCAUGCUCAAGUCUGGUGGCUAAGAAGAUUACUAGGAGAGGUGGGUCGUUGUCAAUAUUUCUAUUGAAACUUUACUGGUAAAACCUUAGUGAUGCCUAUAGCUAGAUAUUCAUUUUUCUCAUGGCAGUGUUAGCAGUAAUGAUGCUUGAUUUCUGGUUAUUUUAAAGGUUGCCAAUAACCAUUGCAGUCUGAUAUAGCUUAUGUUGCAAGAAAUCGGAUCAAGCUCUCAAAUUGUUCAUGAAAUCUUUAAAGUGGAAACUGUUCAUAAAGUUGGCAUAGAUUACAUUGCUUGUGUUGAUAAAUGAAGUUCAAAGAGGAUAUUUGUCCUAAAUUUUUAUAUUGUAGUUUUGAUUUCCACUUAUUUGAAUUCUUGAUAUGUGUAGAUUAGCAAAGCAAUAGCUGGAUUUUAAGUCAUGGUUGGAGUUUGCAUAGCAACUCUCCAUCAUGUUGACAGUCCUUUAAUAGUAGGUACAGACAUUUACAUCAUUUACAGGUAGGCUGAUGUGGUAGCAGUUGAGAAGAAUCAAAAACAUUUUUCUUAGGUUCUUUCUCUCUUUAGCCAUCUUUCCUCUUGUCAUGUUCUCACAGAAAAAGAAAUCGUGAAUUUGUAGAUGUUGUAGUAGAUAUAUUAUGAACUGGAUGACCCUGGAUCAGUUUCCAAAUUGUAAGAACAUUUUUACACUUAUCUAGUGCAAAUAUAGGGCUAAGAUUUCAUUUGACCCAUUGUGGUAUAGAGUUCUAAUGGUUCGCAAUAUUUUUUUAAUAAUUUGUUUUCUCUGGGUUCCGAUUCACUCAAUAAAUACUCCAUUGGACUCUGAUACUUUAGAAUUGGCCUAAUUUUAUUUUGUAUUCCUAAUUUUCAUCAUUUUCGUGUGUUCUGUCAUUCUUGUCAGCAUUGGUCUUUGGCUUUAAGAAUCUGAGACUUUGUUUUUUCAAUUUUAUAUUGCAGAAGCUUCUCAUGGCGUCGAAGCGUAUCUUGAAGGAACUCAAGGAUUUGCAGAAGGAUCCUCCUACCUCCUGCAGUGCAGGUACAAUCAGACUGUAAUGCCAGAUUUGGUCUUUUUUCUCUCAGUCAGUUCAUGUCUAAACCCCUUGUCAUGUAAUUUUUCCCUCUCUUUGUCAAGUUAUAAUUAAUUCAUUAUUUGUUAUAGGAACUGCUCCCACCUUUUCUCUUCUAUUUUGGGUCGAAAAGGGCACAAGUUGUCUUUUCAGGAAAGCAGAGGGAUGAACAAUCACCUUGACUCUUGCAAAAAAAGAGUCUGUAAAAUAUUGAUGAAGGGGGCUUCGUUAACUUAAAUAUUAUCAUUUUGCACUGGCUUUUUUCAAUUUUUAUUUUCAGAUUUGAUUAUUUGGAUGAAAAUUUCAGUCUACUGAAGGCUGCAGGGGAUGGUUUGAAUUCUUAUAUUGUAGGACUAUAUUAGUGUUAAUGUAGCUAUUAAUUUGGUGGCAGUCACUCUAAGUGAAUCUUUGUAUAUAUGUCAUUGGUUGUCAAUGGUGGUGUUGGUGAAGUUUUUGACUUAUAAUCAGAGCAUGUCAUUGUCCCAUAUCAAUAAAAUACACUUCAAGGAGGAGUUAUUUAUUAAGUUAUAAGUAUGUAGAUUUGGUAACUUCAAUUAUAAAAGGGAAUCUUUAAUGCUGGCUCAAUAUGCAAUCCUUAACAGGGAAGAUCUGCACAUCUGCAUAAACUUGUGACCCCGAGUAGUUGGUCCAAGUAUAUCAGAUAUGGUUGUGGCCUUGUGGGUAUGAUUAGGAGUUUUUUCUGCUACCCUAAUGCUGGCAAUUUAUGUUUAUAUUUUGCAGGUCCUGUAGCCGAGGACAUGUUCCAUUGGCAAGCAACAAUCAUGGGCCCUCCUGACAGUCCAUAUGCUGGAGGUGUUUAUUUAGUAAAUAUUCAUUUCCCGCCAGAUUAUCCUUUCAAGCCACCAAAGGUAUGGUAAUAUUUUUGUAUAGCUUUUGGAUCUCAUAUUGAGGUGCCUUAAUCUGGUGGUUUGAUGGUCAGCCUUUUGUUUUAAGUUUCACGACUAAUUAGCUGUUGUGCUUUCUUUUGAUAUGUAAAUUUCCUUGUUGAUUAGCAAUUACUUUUAGGUAUUAUAGGCAUAGAGUAUGCAUUUUGAAAUGACUUUCUCUAUUGACAUGAUGAUGCAUAUUAGAUAUGUAUUUGCUUGAUGUUUACUUCAUAUCUAGGUUUAUCAUCACCAAUAUCUUGAAAGGCCUUUUGAGUCAUUGUUGUAUGAUGAAGUUCGGUAAUUUAAUUUUUGUUCACUAUUGUGUUCAUAUAUUUAGGAGAUUGUAGCAUUUAACUAUAUAUAUUGCACUAUUAAUCUUAGUAGUAUAUGAUUGCAUGUUUUUGCCUUCUAGCUUUUGCUUUCAGCAAAAUUUUGCUUCAUCAAUUUCAUAACCGGGAUGGGUGAAGUACCAUGCCAAGUUUGAACCUGCAUUCAAGAACUCCACCACUGUGGUUUCCACAUCCCAUUGGUAGUUUCAUUUUUCUAGCAUAUGUGAAAUGCUAAAUAGAAAUAAUUAAUGACGAUAUUUGUAUAGUUUUUGCAUGGUUUAGAUUGGAGGGAAAUAUGACACAUUAUUAGGUAAAAUAAGAAAGAGGAGGAUGAGAGAUCUUUUGAAGGAAGAUUUAGUAUUUCAUUGAAUAACUCUAUUCGAAUAUUACAAAAUCUAUUACUCUGUUGGAGUCUUUUGAAAGAAGACUCCAAAGCUUUUCUUGAUCAUUAUCUCAAUGACAAUAGGACUUCCCAACUUCAACAUAUAACAAAUUUGGGAAUUGUAACUAAUCCUUGUCAAAGCAAGACCUUGGAGUUCUUAAUGCAGGUAAAUGAACCUAAAACAAAUCUUCUUGAGAACCAUGAGCAACUAUUAUUUCAACAGUUUCCCUUUAUGUCCUUUAUUAUAUUUUCAAACAAGUGCAAGCUCAAAAUAUACUGAAACUAUAUUGGGCAUGCCUCACUGCUUGUCUAUGGGAAUGCGAAAGAAAUAUCAGGAGGUCUUUAUAAAAAACCUACAGUGGAUGUUUUCUCUCUUCUAUCUUGAGAUAAUUGUGGUUAUUCACCACCAAUCAGGUUUGCUCCUGAGAACUUUCACUUGGAUAGGAAGGUACCAAUCAACUGAGCUAACAGCUAUAAGUCAAACCGACAACAAAGUAGUUAUUGAAAAAUUAAAAGUAGUAGUUUAAGAUAAAUUAAAACUAGGAAAUAAAUUAAAAUUGGGGGUUGAAAGUGGGAUUGGAAAAUGGUCCGGAGAAGGUGCCUUAUCUAUAUAGUAGUGGUAGUAGUAGAUGAGACCAAUAUGUUUAAUUUAAUGAUUAUGUACAUGGAAAUUGAGUUGAAGGAGACACUCGUGAGGAUGAGAAUGGCAGAUGGGGGUCGCAACAAGUCGAGAUGUGGUUGCAUAAAGAAAGUGUUGAUUAAUUAAAAUUCUAACAUAUAGGAAUUUGGGUCAUGAAGAGAUACAUAAGAGAAUGGAGACUAUUUUAAUAGUUAAGUUCUAUCAAGAAUUGAAGCUAUUCAAGGGUCAGGGUUUGAGGAUAUCUACCAGUGGUGAUGGAGGAGAGAGAUCACCCCAUGAAUGGAAUCAAUUUAUUAGUCAUGUUUGAUUAAUAUCCUAGAAUCCAGUUAUGUCAAGCACCAUUGUAGGUUAGUAUCUAGUGGUAAAGAUUAGAGAGGCAUCAUCUGAUGCAAGUUUUUUUUUCCAGAUCAAGGGUCAAGGGUGUCGUGGAAAAAAGUGAUGGAAUCUUGUUGGAACAUUUCAAAAAUUCAACAUUUUAAUAUUUCAAUGUGGUACCUAUAAAAAUGCUAAUGAGGGCAGCUUGAUGCAAAACAUAAGUUUUUGAAAAUUGGAAACUUUAUCUAAUUGUAUAUUAACUUAUGUAUUUUAAAUUAUGGAAUAUGUCAUCAAGAUAUGAACUGUCACCUCCCCAAUUUACCCUUUAUCUGAAACAAAAAGUCAUGUGUUUGGUGAUGGUUAUCCUAUCUCUAAUGGUGGAUAAUGUCUCGACCUACAAUUCAAUUUCAACCACUCUGUUAGCUGUGAUAUUGAGCUCCUUGAAAUGGAGAAAUCAAUUUACAUAGUUUGCGACAUAGUUAGUAUCUCAUUUGUACCCACCAGAGCAUUUAAAUUGUGUCUUGAUAUGGAUGGGGUUUUUGUCAGUUCAAUUAUGGUGCAUGGAGAGUGAAGAGGUGAUAGAACUUUUUCUAGACUUGAUGCAUGUGGAGUACUGGAAGAGUCCAUUUCAUUUCCAUUUCCUUAUUAGUUACUUUAAUCAAAGGACCAGUGGCAUGCAUUAUUGUUUUAACUUCAAAGGCCCAAAUUGGGAUGUUCAUUGUCCAUACAAGGUAGAAACUUAGUAGAAGUGAGAGGCUGUGAGGACCAAGGUUCUCCGUCUUGGUACCGGACCCCAUACCGGUGCCACACUAGCAUAGUGUUGGUAUGGUAUGGUAUGGAAUUUUUUUGGCGUACCAAAUGUUGGCACACCACCCAUACCGGAUACCAGUACCGAAUCGGUACGGUACGGUAUGCCUCGUACCGCCUAGUUUGGGCUGGUAUGUCGUACCUUAAUGAGGACUCUUGACAUUUAUUGUCAUUUGUCAGUAUCUUUCUUUUUAUUUUUUCUCACUUUUAGGGUUGGGGGUGGGGGGGUGUUGUUGCCAACCAGAGUUUCUAGUUUUUGAGGUUAAAGGAUUUUCCCAUUCUAGAUGGUUCUACAGAGUCCAUUUAUUUUGGGGGCCACAAUGCAAUUGAAGUUGGUCUCGAAUCCCAAUUCCCCUCUGAAAUUCUGUCCUUUUUUUUGUUAUGGUCAUUUCUUUAAGCUCUAAGUAGAAAGAAGCUUGUUCUGAGAGGACUAAUGUAGUGUAGUUUUUCUCGUAAUUUGUGGGAAAUCGCCUCCGUUACAUCUUUGAAACCUGAAAGCUAUCUCUGAAGCCUUUUCAUUUAUCUUCAAUCUACAAGGGAUGAUGAUUUCUGGGUUCUAUUGAUUUGGAAGGCAAGAAAACUUGAAAGUGGCCCCAUGCUGUUUGGUGGGAGUUUUGUAGAGGAAAAGAUAGAAGAAUGCAAUAGUUUGAUCAGAACUCAGAUAUUGGGGGUCUUUAGGAAUAUUGAAUUGUUUUUUGUUAGUGUUUCCCCAGAGGAGGAAAUUUAUUCUAGGAGCGUAUGCAAUGGUGGUCGCAUCUGUUUUGAGGACUUAGGUGGUGUUGUUAUGUGCUUUUUCCUUUUGUUUCUUUUUGGCUUGAUUUCUUAUUAUCAAUAUGAUUAUGUAUUUUCUUACAAGUAAAGUUCUUUUUAGAUGACCAGUUUAGUUCUAGUUAUCCAGAAUUUACUUAGAUAUCAAAUUAAGAUUAAUAACUGUCAGUAAGGGUUUAGUGGGCAAGGUUAGUAUUCGCAUGAAGUUUGCAGGCUAGUAGUUGUUUGCCUACAUGCACAGCAUGCAGUCCAUGCCUGACAUGAAGGAUGGCAUUCUUCUGUAUAUAGGUAGUUUGUCAUGAAAAAAUGGGGAUUCAAUUACAUAGAAUAUUGUGUUAGAAUAAUCACCAGAAGUUAGAACAAUGCAUGUUGGUAUGGUUGUGAAUUAUGCGGUGGCACAUUUUUUUACAUGCUGUAUGCAUGGCAUUUAACAGUUGAAAUCGUGCAAAUGAUUUGUCAAGAAUCAGCUACCCUUUUCCUUUUUAAUUUGUUGUACUUGUCCGCUAUAUUCAUACACUGAUGCAGUUACAUGUUUUAGGUUGCUUUUAAGACUAAGGUCUUUCAUCCGAACAUCAAUAGUAACGGGAGCAUCUGUCUGGAUAUUCUUAAAGAGCAGUGGAGUCCUGCCCUGACCAUCUCAAAGGUAUGUCAUGCAAAUAUUAUUCACUUGUUUUGAUCUGGUGUCGAGCAAACAGGGUUUAUGCCUUUGAUUUAUUAUGAGUAUUAAAACAAGAACAGAACUAUGAAAUUAUGGUGCUGCUGUAUUACGUGCAAGUUUGUAUCGGUGUGGAUACAGCAUGAAGACAAAAAAGGAAAUAAAUAGGAAGAUUCGGAUUUUAUCAUGCAAGUUUAUACAAAUGACCAGUUCUGAAUAAAUAUGCUGAGUACAUGUCUUGCUUUAAUUUUACUUUGGUUUUUGAUUCCCCCAACUUUCUUUAUACUCGCUAUGAAUUUUACAAUCACUUGAUGCAAGAGAUGAAUGACGAGAGUGUUUCAGUGAUAUGUAGAUGAUGUAUAGGCUAUAUAGGUGGAACCUUAUAGCGAAAAUUAUUUGAUAAUUUGCCAAACCCAACCAUGCUUGCCACAAACUGUUGUAUUCUACAUUUAAAUAAUUGCAGAAUGAUGCAGAAGUUAACCAAUGCUAUAAAUAAGAAAGUGACCUAUUACGAUUAGCAUGUUUGUUUUAAUCAGAUAUAGGAGUAUGUAUGAUGAUAUUGAGCUUAGUUUGUCAGCAGUUGGUAUUAUCACUCCAACGAGGACCCUUUUCCCAAUCCUUUAACCUAUAUCUAGUAUUGAGGUCCGCAGAAUCAAGUUGCCAUCUCUGUAUUUUUACAUUUUAUAUUGGUAUCGCACUUUCUUCCUUUUCUGUACAUGAUAUGACUGGAACAAGAUUCUUGAUAAUGAACAAUAUAAUGUUGCGACAGGUCUUGCUAUCUAUCUGCUCUUUGUUGACGGAUCCAAACCCAGAUGAUCCUCUCGUCCCAGAGAUUGCUCAUAUGUACAAGACUGACAGAGCAAAGUAUGAGACCACAGCUCGCAGCUGGACACAGAAGUAUGCUAUGGGAUGAAGGUCUCCUACGCUGGGAGUGGUUAUGUUAUCUGACAAAUGAAUAUAAUAUGGGAUUAAGGUCCCCAUUCGUGAUGUUAUUGAAGUGAUUGUGUU